rnacentral:rRNA from 1 species
UUGACCUCAAAUCGGGUGAGACUACCCGCUGAACUUAAGCAUAUCAAUAAGCGGAGGAAAAGAAACCAACAAGGAUU